CCGCUGUGCACUACGACUGCGUCGCCGCUGCGGAACAGCCCGCUCCCGGUAAAACGGGACGGCCCGCCGAGGACCCCUAAACUCUGUUUCUAUAUGUAACUUCUGAGUAAAACCAUAAAUAAAUCAAAACUUUCAACAACGGAUCUCUUGGUUCUGGCAUCGAUGAAGAACGCAGCAAAAUGCGAUAAGUAAUGUGAAUUGCAGAAUUCAGUGAAUCAUCGAAUCUUUGAACGCACAUUGCGCCCGCCAGUAUUCUGGCGGGCAUGCCUGUUCGAGCGUCAUUUCAACCCUCAAGCAAAGCUUGGUGUUGGGACUCGCGUUAAUUCGCGUUCCUCAAAUUGAAUGGCGGUCACGUCGAGCUUCCAUAGCGUACUAUUAAAACCCUUCUUACUGGAAAUGGUCCGGGCCAACCCCUUAAACCCCCACUUGUUAAUUUUAACCUGGUAUGAGGAGUUGAAAACCCGCU
rnacentral:rRNA from 1 species